rnacentral:rRNA from 1 species
AGAGUUUGAUCCUGGCUCAGGAUGAACGCUAGCUACAGGCUUAACACAUGCAAGUCGAGGGGCAGCAUGGUCUUAGCUUGCUAAGACUGAUGGCGACCGGCGCACGGGUGAGUAACACGUAUCCAACCUGCCGUCUACUCUUGGACAGCCUUCUGAAAGGAAGAUUAAUACAAGAUGGCAUCAUGGGUCCGCAUGUUCACAUGAUUAAAGGUAUUCCGGUAGACGAUGGGGAUGCGUUCCAUUAGAUAGUAGGCGGGGUAACGGCCCACCUAGUCUUCGAUGGAUAGGGGUUCUGAGAGGAAGGUCCCCCACAUUGGAACUGAGACACGGUCCAAACUCCUACGAGAGGCAGCA